UGGGGAAUAUUACACAAUGGGCGCAAGCCUGAUGCAGCCAUGCCGCGUGUAUGAAGAAGGCCUUCGGGUUGUAAAGUACUUUCAGCGGGGAGGAAGGGAGUAAAGUUAAUACCUUUGCUCAUUGACGUUACCCGCAGAAGAAGCACCGGCUAACUCCGUGCCAGCAGCCGCGGUAAUACGGAGGGUGCAAGCGUUAAUCGGAAUUACUGGGCGUAAAGCGCACGCAGGCGGUCUGUCAAGUCGGAUGUGAAAUCCCCGGGCUCAACCUGGGAACUGCAUUCGAAACUGGCAGGCUAGAGUCUUGUAGAGGGGGGUAGAAUUCCAGGUGUAGCGGUGAAAUGCGUAGAGAUCUGGAGGAAUACCGGUGGCGAAGGCGGCCCCCUGGACGAAGACUGACGCUCAGGUGCGAAAGCGUGGGGAGCAAACAGG
rnacentral:rRNA from 1 species